UACGGGGGGGGCAAGCGUUGUUCGGAAUUACUGGGCGUAAAGGGUUUGUAGGUGGCUUGUUAAGUCAGACGUGAAAUCCCUCAGCUUAACUGGGGAACUGCGUCUGAUACUGGCGAGCUUGAGUGCAGGAGAGGAACGCGGAAUUCCAGGUGUAGCGGUGAAAUGCGUAGAUAUCUGGAGGAACACCGGUGGCGAAGGCGGCCUGCUGGGCGAGUAGCUGACACUGAGGCGCGACAGCGUGGGGAGCAAACAGG
rnacentral:rRNA from 1 species